AAACUAAUUUAGUCUGGCGGCAUCCCAUCUUAUUAGAGGAAUUUGUCUAUUAAUCGAUAUACCACGAUAAUUUUCACUUUAUUUCAAAAUUUAUAUACCUCCAUCCUAAGAAUCAUUUCAAAAUAUCUCUCCAAAAAUAAAUAAAAAAUUAGGUCAAGGUGUAAUUUAUAUUAAAGAUUUAGAUGAAUUACAUUAAAUACAAUUUAAAGAUUAUAAAUAUAAAUAUUUAUAUAAAUCAGGAUUUAAAAGUAAUAUUUUAACAAUAUUAUAAUAUGAUUUAGAUAAUUAAUGUGUACACAUCGCCC
rnacentral:rRNA from 1 species